CGCAGUCUCUGGCCAGCGCUGUCAGAUCAAACACUAUGUAAUGUCGACACACCAUGAUGUCGAUUAGAAAUAUUAAGAAAGGUUGCGCGUAGACCUGUAAAGUUUCUGUUUAGGCUACCCUCAAUCCCUCAUCCUUGUGUCAUUCGUAAGGUUGUUUUGGAAAAUCGGCCCUGCAGCAGCUGCAGAACAAAAAACAACAGUAGAAUACAUUACAAUAUACGAUUGGCCCAGCACUAUACAUGCAAAGAUUUGUUGGAAGGUAAAUGUCUCACCCUGAUAUGAUCACCAGGGCCUUAAGAUGGUCUUGUCCCAACCAGGUGCUUAUGAUGCUACCAAAAGUAAGGUAGAUCAAAGUUUCUAGGAUCCUGAGCAAUGAUGUGAGGGUAUUAUUGAGACACUUACAAGUUGAGAAUAUCCAAUAGGCCACUUCUAUGAUCUGCAGUGUUUUGAGUGUCAAGCGGAUGUUGGUCCCUGGCAUGCUGAUGCUUCUCCAUUACGUUCCCAGAACAUGAACUCCAUUCGUAGGACUUCCAUUUUAAUUUCAUCAACUAUUUGAUCAACCAAGUUGUGAAAGAGAAAACAAACCAGAGCAGUUGCUCGUAUAUGGGGAAAAUUUUGAAUCCUUCUGCAAGGCAAUAUCAAAACAUGUUUGCCCAAAAAGUGAAGCAUUGAAAAAGAGAUGUUAGCUGAAACUGUGCCAAACUGCAACCGCAGGUUUACGGAAAUCAUUGAUGCCGUCAUAUACCACCUGUGCACCUGUUAUCUCCACCCAGAUCCUAAUCUAUUACAAUGUGUGCCACAAAUAAAAGGAAGGAUAGAAAUACAGUGGCAGAAGAAUUAAACUCCAAAAGAAAAUUUCCGUCCAGUGUUUUACGUCUGUAUUUUUAUGGAUUACGGAAUAUUUCGAAGAAAUGUAUCUGCCUAAUGACGAUUUUGGUGGAUAUGGGCAGAAUCUGCACGCCGAAACUCGAUGUGGAUGCAAAUUCUAUUUAUGGAGGUAAAUAAAAAUACUGACUGAUAAAAUUUGUCGCAAGUCGCCGGCAAUAUUUAGGGACUGUGGCAUCCAGGCAGGGUUGUUUACCAUGAUUGAAAAGAGAAUCGUGUAACCGAGUUAACAGCUACCAACAUUUGCAAUUCUCAAUCCAACCCAUAAAAAUUGCCUGGCAUCUAAUGAAUAAACAUUUUCUGGUUCUCCCAACUGAUGAUGGUUAAGCACAUGCAGAAUGCUGAAUAACUAAUGAUAUAAUAAUACUGAUGACAGAGUCCUAAGGAAAGAUGGCGGGAGAAAAAAGUAAACAAACAAAACGUAUCGUACCCUCUAACAAAAAAGUCUUCCAAUAACCGGUCUCAUCCCUAUAUUUUACGGAACUCCAAUGCAAAAAAAAAGUGCUAUUAUCCCGUGGAUACCAGGUAAUGCUAGUGUAGUGAUUGUGCAGCACAAGGUAAUUUAAAAGUUAAAUAGCUGGUUUAACGAGAAAACCAAUAACUUAAUUAAAAUCAGAGUUCAAUUUUUUUCCCAAACUUCACGAAAUGUUGUUUCUGGCCAAUUUUAAUAAAACUAGGAAGAUCCGAAGGUAUGGCAAUAUGGCAAUCCGUUAUACCCAAAAUAAAAAUAAAAAUAUUGGCCUUUUUUCGGUUUACGGCUAUCGCCAUCUAACGGUCACAUUUCUAGUUAAUUCUCUGCGUACACUGACCGAAAAGCUGGCCAAAAAUAAUUUCCAUCGGACGGCGCUGCAAGUUCACCAGCCUCUAGCGGCUGAAAUAAAAACUAUUUUUUGACAUGUGAUUCUCAUUGUUUACUUUGUUGUUACGUUGGAAGCGUGUGUUUGAGUUUAGUUCGUCGGAAUAUCUUGUUGUUUUUACCUCCACCCCUAUUAUUGAUGUGCAAAUUUUACGCUGCUUCGUUACCAACACAAAACGUAAGCUGUUGGGCAUAGAACAAGGUAAUAUUAACGUACUUUUGGAAAACCAGGU